GACGAACGCUGGCGGCGUGCUUAACACAUGCAAGUCGAACGGUAAGGCCCUUCGGGGUACACGAGUGGCGAACGGGGGAGUAACACGUGGGUGAUCUGCCCUGCACUUCGGGAUAAGCCUGGGAAACUGGGUCUAAUACCGGAGAGGACCACUGCCUGCAUGGGUGGUGGUGGAAAGCUUUUGCGGUGUGGGAUGGGCCCGCGGCCUAUCGGCUUGUUGGUGGGGUGAUGGCCUACCAAGGCGACGACGGGUAGCCGGCCUGAGAGGGUGACCGGCCACACUGGGACUGAGAUACGGCCCAGACUCCUACGGGAGGCAGCAGUGGGGAAUAUUGCACAAUGGGCGCAAGCCUGAUGCAGCGACGCCGCGUGAGGGAUGACGGCCUUCGGGUUGUAAACCUCCUUCAGCACCGACGAAGCGCAAGUGACGGUAGGUGCAGAAGAAGGACCGGCCAACUACGUGCCAGCCGCCGCCGUAA
rnacentral:rRNA from 1 species